AACGAACGCUGGCGGCAGGCUUAACACAUGCAAGUCGAACGCGAAAUCACCUUCGGGUGGUGGAGAGUGGCAGACGGGUGAGUAACGCGUGGGAAUCUACCUGAUGGUACGGAAUAACUCAGGGAAACUUGAGCUAAUACCGUAUGUGCCCGAGAGGGGAAAGAUUUAUCGCCAUCAGAUGAGCCCGCGUCGGAUUAGGCUAGUUGGUGGGGUAAAAGCCCACCAAGGCGACGAUCCGUAGCUGGUCUGAGAGGAUGAUCAGCCACACUGGGACUGAGACACGGCCCAGACUCCUACGGGAGGCAGCAGUGGGGAAUAUUGGACAAUGGGCGCAAGCCUGAUCCAGCCAUGCCGCGUGAGUGAUGAAGGCCCUAGGGUUGUAAAGCUCUUUCGACGGGGACGAUAAUGACGGUACCCGUAGAAGAAGCCCCGGCUAACUCGUG
rnacentral:rRNA from 1 species